CAGUCGCCGCGGGAAAACCAGCACCUCGAGUGGUCAGGAGGUUUAUUGGGCCUAAAGCAUCCGUAGCCGGUUGUUUAAGUUUUCGGUUAAAUCUAUGCGCUUAACGUAUAGGCUGCCGAAAAUACUGGACAGCUAGGGAGUGGGAGAGGUACACGGUACUCAAUAGGAAGGGGUAAAAUCCUUUGAUCUGUUGAUGACCACCUGUGGCGAAGGCGGUGUACCAGAACACGUUCGACGGUGAGGGAUGAAAGCUGGGGGAGCAAACCGGAUUAGAUACCCGCGUAGUCCCUGUCUCUUAUAC
rnacentral:rRNA from 1 species